GGCCCCUUGGUCAAGCGGUUAAGACACCGCCCUUUCACGGCGGUAACACGGGUUCGAAUCCCGUAGGGGUCAUCA
rnacentral:tRNA from 50 species